rnacentral:tRNA from 1 species
GAGACUUUAAUUUAAUAGGUAAAAUAUGUGACUUUUAAUCAUUAUAAUGAGGGUUCGAGUCCCUUAGGUCUUA